rnacentral:rRNA from 1 species
UGGGGAAUAUUGCACAAUGGGCGAAAGCCUGAUGCAGCAACGCCGCGUGAGUGAUGAAGGCCUUCGGGUUGUAAAGCUCUGUCUUUUGGGACGAUAAUGGACGGUACCAAAGGAGGAAGCCACGGCUAACUACGUGCCAGCAGCCGCGGUAAUACGUAGGUGGCAAGCGUUGUCCGGAUUUACUGGGCGUAAAGGAUGCGUAGGCGGAUUUUUAAGUGAGAUGUGAAAUACCCCGGGCUUAACUUGGGUGCUGCAUUUCAAACUGGGAAUCUAGAGUGCGGGAGAGGAGAAUGGAAUUCCUAGGUGUAGCGGUGAAAUGCGUAGAGAUUAGGAAGAACACCAGUGGCGAAGGCCGAUUCUCUGGCACCGGUAAACUGACGCUGAGGCAUGAAAGCGUGGGGUAGCAAACAGGAUUAGAUACCCUGGUAGUCCACGCCGUAAACGAUGAGUAUU